rnacentral:lncRNA from 1 species
UCUUGUUUAGGUAUUCAAACAACACGAGAGCUAAGAACGCUCAGAGACUGCCAGUGAAGGGAUGACUGCUUGAUGAGAACACAAGGAGAAAGGGAGAACGGGGCCUCCAAGACUCCCACUCAUGAUGCGUCUGUCGGUUGUCUUCAAAGAAAUGUUGCCAAAACAUCAAUAUUUUCAGCAUUAGAAAACUGAAGAAUUGCUUUCCACGUAAUUCAGUAAAAAUGUGGGUAUAAUUGAGGAUGUCUUACUCAGCCAGCUAAGCUGUCAUCAGCAUGGUACCUACUACUCAGUGUUCUUCAUUGGAGAAACAAAAGUGUCUUAAAGAAGAUUGGCCCAUUCUGCUUUUAUUUACUUACUUACUUACUUACUCACUUAUUGAGAGAGAGAGAGAGAGAGAGAGAGUAGAGAGGGGCAGAGGGAAGGGAGAGAGAGAAUCUUAAGUAGGCUCCACGCCCAGUGUAGAGCCUGAUGUGGGGCUCAAUCUUACGACCCUGAGAUCACAACUUGAGCCAAAAUCAAGGGUCAGACACUUACCAGACUAAGCCACCCAGGCGCCUCAAAUUCUAUGUAUUGGAGCUUCUGCAGUUGUGGCAGCUGGUUAAGUGGUUUCUGCAGGUUUUUGUCUUUGCAUCUUCUGUUAGAGCUUAAAGUCCUCUCAUUAGGCAGCCAUUCCCAGGGAGGGAAGAUGGAGAUAAAGUAGGGGAGAGCAAGAAGAAGUUGGAAUCCAUGAAUAUGAUCUGGAAUCCACAAGGAAAGACUGAAACCUGUGUCAUUUCCUAUUGCCCCUGACCUUGGUGGGGUAGGUAUUUGCAGCAGCAGGGCCUUUCUUCAUGGAGUUAAAGACACACGCCUGGCCCAGUGAUGCUGAAGAAGGAUCCUGAGGAAGGUGGAGUGCUCACGGGCCUGAUGGCUGCCUCACGUGAAUGAGUCAGACAUGUGUAAGUUACAGAGUGGUCCUUCCUAUAGCUUACAAGGAUCUCCCUUGUGGCCCACCCCAUCUGGAAACAUACAGAAAGAGGAACUCUGAGAAAUGUUGUUCAGCCUAGCAACAUUGACACUUUACAAAGUUGCCUCUUGUAUCUUCCAGUUAAUUGCUCAUGACAGUUUUGAGUUGCAUUUCCUAUUUUGCCAGUGAUUAACAACCAACCCUAAUAAAGACUAGAAACUUAUUUUGUUCUUUUUAAAG